rnacentral:rRNA from 1 species
UACGGAGGGUGCAAGCGUUGUCCGGAUUUAUUGGGUUUAAAGGGUGCGUAGGUGGCCCCGCAAGUCCGUGGUGAAAGCCUCUUGCCCAACAAGAGAACUGCCAUGGAUACUACGGGGCUUGAGUCCAGGCGAGGUUGGCGGAAUGGAUGGUGUAGCGGUGAAAUGCAUAGAUACCAUCCAGAACCCCGAUUGCGUAGGCAGCUGACUAGGCUGGUACUGACACUGAGGCACGAAAGCGUGGGGAGCGAACAGG